UACGUAGGUGGCAAGCGUUGUCCGGAUUUACUGGGCGUAAAGGGCGUGCAGGCGGUUUGUUAAGUGCAGAGUGAAAGCUCCCGGCUCAACUGGGAGAGGUCUUUGCAUACUGGCAAACUCGAGGGAGGCAGAGGAAAGUGGAAUUCCCGGUGUAGUGGUGAUAUGCGUAGAUAUCAGGAGGAACACCGGUGGCGAAGGCGUCCCUCUGGCCGGAUACUGACGCUGAGACGCGAAAGCGUGGGGAGCAAACAGG
rnacentral:rRNA from 1 species